rnacentral:rRNA from 1 species
CCAAUAGCGUAUAUUAAAGUUGUUGCAGUUAAAAAGCUCGUAGUUGAAUUUCGGGGUCAGUAGGUUGGUCAUGCCACUGGUAUGUACUGGUCUCACUGAUUCCUCCUUCCUGAUGAGCCGUAAUGCCAUUAAUUUGGUGUUGCGAGGAAUCUGGACUGUUACUUUGAAAAAAUUAGAGUGUUUAAAGCAGGCUAACGCUUGAAUACAUUAGCAUGGAAUA